rnacentral:piRNA from 1 species
UAGGUGCAUGCCAGAAACUGUUCUCAGGG